UACUUAAAAAUUCCCAUUUUAUCCAUGCACGAUCCGUCCCUUUUACAGGUUUUAUGUCAUUUUAACCGUGUAUCAACAAUUGGCGCGAACACUGUAGAUGUCGUGUGCAUGUUUCAAAUCAAAGUUUUAGGCUUGAAAUGCUGCACACAUCAUUUCUGGUGUUCGUUUUUUUACUUCAUUUCAUUUGGGGUGCUGUUUGUUUUUUCCUUCUUCCUCUUUGCUGCAUCUCUGGUCGAAGGUAUGGUCUUAGUAAAGGGGUAUGCUUUUGGAGGUGGAGUUUUGUUGGGUUGGUAUUUGUUGUUUGUGGUCCCCGUGUAGUGAUUUCUGCAUUGUACAUCUCCAUUCUGGUUCUGGGUUUUUUAUGGUCUAGGGUUCUGUUUGAUUUUUUUAAGGUUGUGUUUUUUUUUUUUUUUUUUCAUUUGGAGUUGUGUUGGUAUGUGGGUUGUGGGUUUUCGUGACAAUCUGUGUAUCGCUUUUCUUUCAUUUUCUUGGUACUUUGAUUUUCAUUCUCGAUCUCGACUAUGGAAGAAGUUUUCGACUUAGUAAAAGAGUAUGAUUUUUUGUUUUGGAAUCGUGUCUGGUUGGAAUGUGUAAUUUACCAUACAGAGCUUUCUGGCUUUUGAAUCUGCAUUUUGCUCCGGGAUUUUAGCGCUUGUGGUUGUGUUCAAUUUUUUUUGGGUGUGUGGUACUUUUUUUAUUUUUGGGUGUGACUACUUUUUUGGGUGAAACUAUUUGAUUUGUUAUCAGAUGGAGGUGAAAUUUUAGGAUUGACAGCCAAGAGGCCGUGAUGAGUUAAAGUACCAAUACCUUUGAGGAGGUGGCUAAGCACAGCCACAAGAAGGAUUGUUGGAUUAUAAUCAAAGGAAAGCAUGGGUUUCUUAAAAGACCCUCAUGCAUUUAUAUGCGUUCUUCAGACUGUCCUGAGCACCACAAAUUACGGGCAGGCACACCACAAGUUGUGUUGGACAUUUAACGGUUGAUCUUCAAAGAUUUGAGAACAUAGUAAGGUGCUGGCUUCAAAGGUCUUCAAAGACAAAUCAGCUAGCUGUGUUGUCGUGGCUUACAAUUUGUGGCAACCGCUGAAAGACUGAAACUUGAUUUUUUAUUUUGCAUGGAACAAAUUUGGAUUAGUUGCCCGAAAAAGGACCUGGCGUGUAAUUGGGGUCAUUUGCACAGGCUUUGGACAUGAAGGCUGUGAGCAAGGUUGAUAAGCCCGAGUCCAAGUGACUUUUGAAUCCUACGCGUAAGCCAUGUUCAGUACACUGUAUUGCAGUUGUUCCUGAUAUUCACUGGGCUCUAUCUACUUUAUGCUUUGGGCCAAAGGGAAAGAAGGUUGCUUUCAGAGGGAAUAUGAUGCAGAGAAGCCUCUUUUAAGCUAACCUUCUUUUCAAAUGUAAAAGGAGUAGUAUGUAGUGUAUGUACUUAUUUUGUCCAUAGAAACAGAGUAAAUGAAAUACAAGUUUAUUCACAAAUCUUACUUCUAAGUUCUAAUCAAAUACCCGAUGCAAUUAGAUUAGCGAUGCCAUCUUAUAAUGUAAUCCUGACGCCGAUCCCAGCUCCUCUGACGAAGAUGUUAUCGCCGGAAUCGGUAACAAUUUCGCUGAGAUUGGUGGCAAGUUCAAGAACGGGAUCUCCAAAAUUUAUGGCAAUAAGACGGUAUCCCAAUCACCAAGAUUGCUUCGAGCUUCCUUCAGCUUGGAUCCCGAGAGGAAUACGACUUUUUCCUUUUCCUGACGAUGCUGAUCAUGAUGUUAUAUCGACUUUUUCAUUCUUGG